AAGUCGUAACAAGGUCUCCGUUGGUGAACCAGCGGAGGGAUCAUUACCGAGUUUACAACUCCCAAACCCCAAUGUGAACGUUACCAAUCUGUUGCCUCGGCGGGAUUCUCUUGCCCCGGGCGCGUCGCAGCCCCGGAUCCCAUGGCGCCCGCCGGAGGACCAACUCCAAACUCUUUUUUCUCUCCGUCGCGGCUCCCGUCGCGGCUCUGUUUUAUUUUUGCUCUGAGCCUUUCUCGGCGACCCUAGCGGGCGUCUCGAAAAUGAAUCAAAACUUUCAACAACGGAUCUCUUGGUUCUGGCAUCGAUGAAGAACGCAGCGAAAUGCGAUAAGUAAUGUGAAUUGCAGAAUUCAGUGAAUCAUCGAAUCUUUGAACGCACAUUGCGCCCGCCAGUAUUCUGGCGGGCAUGCCUGUCCGAGCGUCAUUUCAACCCUCGAACCCCUCCGGGGGGUCGGCGUUGGGGAUCGGCCCCUCACCGGGCCGCCCCCGAAAUACAGUGGCGGUCUCGCCGCAGCCUCUCAUGCGCAGUAGUUUGCACACUCGCACCGGGAGCGCGGCGCGGCCACAGCCGUAAAACACCCCAAAUUUUCUGAAAUGUUGACCUCGGAUCAGGUAGGAAUACCCGCUGAACUUAAGCAUAUCAAUAAGCGGAGG
rnacentral:rRNA from 1 species